rnacentral:misc_RNA from 1 species
GAUGAAGAACGCAGCGAAAUGCGAUACGUAAUGUGAAUUGCAGAAUUCAGUGAAUCAUCGAGUCUUUGAACGCACAUCGCGCCCCCUGGUAUUCCGGGGGGCAUGCCUGUCCGAGCGUCAUUGCUGCCCUCAAGCACGGCUUGUGUGUUGGGCCUCCGUCCUCCUCCCGGGGGACGGGCCCGAAAGGCAGCGGCGGCACCGCGUCCGGUCCUCGAGCGUAUGGGGCUUCGUCACCCGCUCUUGUAGGCCCGGCCUGCGCUUGCCGACACAUCAAUCUUUUUUCCAGGUUGACCUCGGAUCAGGUAGGGAUACCCGCUGAACUUAAGCAUAUCAAUAAGCGGAGGA